UAGGGAAUCUUCCGCAAUGGACGCAAGUCUGACGGAGCAACGCCGCGUGAGUGAAGAAGGAUUUCGGUUCGUAAAACUCUGUUGUUAGAGAAGAACAGCGCAUAGAGUAACUGUUAUGCGUGUGACGGUAUCUAACCAGAAAGCCACGGCUAACUACGUGCCAGCAGCCGCGGUAAUACGUAGGUGGCAAGCGUUGUCCGGAUUUAUUGGGCGUAAAGCGAGCGCAGGCGGUCAAUUAAGUCUGAUGUGAAAGCCCCCGGCUCAACCGGGGAGGGUCAUUGGAAACUGGUUGACUUGAGUGCAGAAGAGGAGAGUGGAAUUCCAUGUGUAGCGGUGAAAUGCGUAGAUAUAUGGAGGAACACCAGUGGCGAAGGCGACUCUAUGGUAUGUAACUGACGCUGAGGCUCGAAAGCGUGGGUAGCAAACAGG
rnacentral:rRNA from 1 species